rnacentral:ncRNA from 1 species
GUGUUGUAUGAAAGGAAAGAAAGUUAGCACUCUUCUUGACAAGGAUGGAAGAGGCCCUUGGGCCUAAUAACACGCAUAUGGUUAAGGCACCGCCACCUACUUCCUGGCAUCUAACCACUGUUUAAA